rnacentral:rRNA from 1 species
AGCCUGGGGAAAAGCCGGGGUAAACCCGCAUGGUUCCCUUUUGCCACCUGGUGAGAGGGAUAAACAUUUAUGGGUUGUGGAGGGGCUUGCGUCUGAUUAGUUAGUUGGCGGGGUAAAGGCCCACCAAGACGUUGAUCAGUAGGGGUUCUGAGAGGAUUGGCCCCCACAUGGGUACUGAGAUACGGACCCAACUCCUACGGGAGGCAGCAGUAGGGAAUAUUGGGCAAUGGAGGCAACUCUGACCCAGCCAUGCCGCGUGCAGGAUGAAGGCGCUCAGCGUCGUAAACUGCUUUUAUCUACGAAGAACUGUAUUCUUGCGAGGGUACUUGACGGUAGUAGAGGAAUAAGCACCGGCUAACUCCGUGCCAGCAGCCGCGGUAAUACGGAGGGUGCAAGUGUUGUCCGGAUUUAUUGGGUUUAAAGGGUGCGUAGGUGGCGUCUUAAGUCUGGUUUGAAAGCAGGCGGCUCAACCGUCUGAUGUGGCUGGAAACUGGGGUGCUUGAAUGCGUUGGCGGUAGCCGGAACGGGUCAUGUAGCGGUGAAAUGCAUAGAUAUGACCCAGAACACCGAUUGCGAAGGCAGGCUACUAGGACGUGAUUGACACUGAGGCACGAGAGCAUGGGUAGCGAACAGGAUUAGAUACCCUGGUAGUCCAUGCCGUAAACGAUGAUUACUGGCUGUGUGUGCUUACAGCAUGCGUGGCUGAGCGAAAGCGUUAAGUAAUCCACC